UUGAACGCUGGCGGCAGGCCUAACACAUGCAAGUCGAGCGGAUGAAGGGAGCUUGCUCCUGGUUUCAGCGGCGGACGGGUGAGUAAUGCCUCGGAAUCUUCCUGGUAGUGGGGGAUAACGUCCGGAAACGGGCGCUAAUACCGCAUACGUCCUGAGGGAGAAAGUGGGGGAUCUUCGGACCUCACGCUAUCAGAUGAGCCUAGGUCGGAUUAGCUAGUUGGUGGGGUAAAGGCCUACCAAGGCGACGAUCCGUAACUGGUCUGAGAGGAUGAUCAGUCACACUGGAACUGAGACACGGUCCAGACUCCUACGGGAGGCAGCAGUGGGGAAUAUUGGACAAUGGGCGAAAGCCUGAUCCAGCCAUGCCGCGUGUGUGAAGAAGGUCUUCGGAUUGUAAAGCACUUUAAGUUGGGAGGAAGGGCAGUAAGUUAAUACCUUGCUGUUUUGACGUUACCAACAGAAUAAGCACCGGCUAACUUCGUG
rnacentral:rRNA from 1 species